GUACACGCUUCGGCGGUACAUACACUAAAAUCGGAUCAAUUCAGAGAAGAUUAGCAUGGCCUCUGUGCAAGGAUGACACGCAAAAUCAUGAAGCGCUCUAUAAUUUU
rnacentral:snRNA from 1 species